UUUGUGGGUCGGGGGGGAGAGUGUGGCAGUGUGGAGGAUAGGAGUGUACUGUUUGUAGCAGUAUAGGUCUGCUGGCUGUAAUUGUGGCUGGGCCUGUUGGGCUCUGAUGCUUUUUGUUAGGUCUCCUCUCAGCUCCCUCCCUGAAAAGACGAGUGGCAGAGGAGCGCUCAGUUUGUUCUUCAGGAGGAAUGGGCGCGGCAACCUCUUCCUGAGGCGGAGAACCUCUUCCUCCCUCUUUUGUUUACUGCAGUGGCCUACUUCACUGUUGCCACCUCUCAAGCCACUACUGGACCCUGCUUUUCCAAGGUCUCCUUCUCUGCUGACCACUCCAUGAGCCUGAGGAUCCGCUGCCAGCUGGUCAUUCUGCCCCCCAUCUUAUCCUGGAGCUGCAGAACCUGGAGACCUUAGGCUGGCUCCUGUUGGACUCCAUCCCUCUCACCCUCCCUUCUGCCCACCUAGACACUGAGCUGAUACUGAACAUCAUCUGCCUCCUGGAAUACUGAAUGCAGCUGAAGGGUGUGUUCUUAGGCAGGGUCACCCUUUGUGCUAGGUGUUGAUUUCUUAUAGUUGACCAGUUGUAUAGUUGACUUCUCUGGUCUCUGGCUAGACACAUGCUGAUUCACCUGGCCAAAUCUGAGACACACACCCCCCAGUCCCCUUUCUGUGAUGACCCCACAAUUCUCCCCGUGGGGAGCUCUUCCGGCUCAGGAGAAUGGAGGCUGACUUCCAGCUGGCACCCUGGGGCCGGGGUGUCUAUCGUGAUACCAAAUAACUUCAACCCCCAUGGAUGCAGUGGGGACCGCUCAAAAGGAUUCCAACUCCUUGGUCAACUUUACAAACUACCUCUUGAUUCAGAGGAAAAGGAAUAAGUCAAAUGAAUCUGGCACCAUCCCGAAGGUCUUUAUGGGCCCCAUUCUGACUAGGAAGUCUGGCUUCCAGCUCCAAGAUCCAGAAUGGGGCCAAGAAGGUGAAAAAAAAAGAGUCCUGAGGAUUUCACACUGUUCAGACGCUGUUGAGGGACAUUUCCUUGUAAACCUACCCACACCCAACACUUGGCUAUAUGUCCCAAAGAGCCUCUAUUUACCUCUGCCAAUCCAGUUUUUUCUCGUUGUUACCCCUGAACGUCCUCUGAUACUGGGGAAAGAAGGAUUGGAACAGGAUCUCCACCACAGAAGGGAAGUGUCUUAGGCUUGUUUACUUGGACUCUGGAUUCACAGUUUGAAG